rnacentral:pre_miRNA from 2 species
UCUUAUGGAUUGGCAAAGAAAGUGCUUUCUUGAGAUGAAGUCUACUUCUGGUGAAGAUGCUGUGAA